UACGUAGGGCGCAAGCGUUGUCCGGAUUUAUUGGGCGUAAAGAGCUCGUAGGCGGUUUGUCGCGUCGGCCGUGAAAUCUCCACGCUUAACGUGGAGCGUGCGGUCGAUACGGGCAGACUUGAGUUCGGUAGGGGAGACUGGAAUUCCUGGUGUAGCGGUGAAAUGCGCAGAGUAUCAGGAGGAACACCGGUGGCGAAGGGCGGGUCUCUGGGCCGAUACUGACGCUGAGGAGCGAAAGCGUGGGGAG
rnacentral:rRNA from 1 species